AAUAUUAAAAGUGUACAGUUGGGUUUUGAUGUUGUAGUGCAUCAUCAUUCCCGUGGUGACCCAAAUUAAAAACACAAAGGAAGAAGAAGAGAAUAUAAAUUUGGAAGAAGAACGAUUCAGAAAAACGAAUAAAAACUCCUUUUGGAUUGUUUCCGCUUCAGCUUCAACUUUGAUCAUCCACACAGAUCACAGAGCGAAAGUCAGGAAAUGGGAAACGACAAAAGAACUAUGAAGGUUGAAAUUCCUGCUGAUGGCAAUUCUGCGGCAGAAGCAGGUGGCUCCGGCGGGCUAACCCGUCAGACAAGUAUGAAUAAGACCAAUUGCCUUUGCUCGCCAACCACUCACCCUGGUUCUUUCCGGUGUAGGAUGCACCGAAGUCUUUCACUGCCACGUACCAAGAGUAUCGAGGCUGCAUCUCUAUCGGAUCUUUCAUCCAAGCCAGUGGAUUACCCUGGAGCCGCUAAAUAGAUUCAUCCAUGAUACAUGGAUCAAGGGCGUUGCAAUUGCUUGUUGUAACUUGUAAUUUAAUCAAUAUGUGGAGCAUUAGGUUUUUUUCAACAAUAUGCAUUGUAACCUUGAGCUGGUCUUUUCUAAAAAAGAUGAAUAAAACUCAAGUUCCAUUCUCUUUGGGAAGAGAUUAAAAAA